UUUGGGUUUUGCUGCUGCUCCAGGUUUGGGAGGUUUGGAUUUUGGUGCUGUUCCGGGUUUGGGAGGUUUGGAUUUGCUGCUGCUCCGUGCUGUGGCCUCACGGGG